CCGAGAUGGAGCAGCCUCAGUGUGAGUCUCUUCCCGACGGGGCGUCAGCUUUGCUUUUCCUCUCUAGUUUCUGAAAAGGUUUAUAUACAUCCCAGCCCACGUCAGUACUGAAUUCCUUUUCACACACCCACAAAGUUGCGAGUUGUUUCCGGGGUUCCCACCAUGGUGAGGAGUGCUGCAAGACAAGGAAGUGUUGAAUACUGCCAGAGAAAGGUUGAAGAGAAUUCCUACUUGCUGGGAAGGAAAAGAGACUGUCCCAGGGUGACCCAGCCGAAGUGAGGAACUCUCACACCUGCUAUCCUGCCGCACCAGCACGCUCUGAGUCUGGGCUUCUCAUCGCCCCUUGGCACGGCUGCAGCAUCACUAACAUCUUCUAGUAAUGUUGCUGGUGGCCACGCCAUAUUCAGCUUCCUGCCAUCGUGACAAAAUCCCAAGGAAACUGGGUUGAAAGAGGAAAGCAAGUCACAUCCCUAACUACUGGAGAUGGCCUUCCUACUCGGUGGGCGGGACUCCACAGACUCAUCACUGGGGACAAGGAACUGUCAUGGCACUCAUGACUGGUGAGGUGGAGACUAGGAGAGUCAUUGCAAAAGUCGGUGUGGAAAUUCUUUAAAAUUCAGCACAGAAUUAGCACCAGAUUCACAAUUCUAUUUGUUUAAAUCCCAAAGAGUGAAAACCAAGUCAUGAAAAGAAGCCAAGUGUCCAUCAAUCCAGUGUCCAUCAAUGGAUGGAUGGAUGGAUGCACACAGUGUGAGCCAGGCAUGCAGUGGAAUGUUAUUCAUGGUUUAAAAAGAAAGAAAUUCAGACAUAGGCUACCUACCACACGGCUGGUCACUGAUGACACUAAGCUAAGUGAAAUAAGCCAGUCGAAGGACAAACUUGGUAUGACUCCGUAUGCAGGAGGUUCCUAGAGCUGUCAGACUCCCAGUGACAGAGACAGCAAUAGUGGCUGCCAAGGGUGCAAUGAGGGGAAAUACGGAGUUAUUUAAUAGGGGCAGAGUUUCCACUUUGCAAGAUGACAAUAGCUGAGAUUGACUGUACCAUAAUGAGUGUAAUCAAUGCCACCAUAGGUGAAAUCAGCCAGACUCGGAAAGACAGACGGCACAUUGAUACUUUUGCAUCCCAGCGAGUAUACAGAUGUAUAAGUAUACAGAGAGUAUGAACCCAGUGGGAAAGUAUGGGAUGAAUAUGGUCGAGGUUCAUGAUUUACUUGAAAGAAAUUGUCUUUAUGAAACCCAGUAUUACAUAGAAUGAAUACACACCAAUAAAGUUUUUAAUAAAGCGUCUAUAGCUUUGGGUAAGAUACAAUAAGAUGUGUGUACGAUAUAUUAAAAAGCACAGCAUUUUGUAUGACAACUAAAAAAGCAUCAGAAAAAGAAAAGGGUGAGAGUACCUCACAUUUUGUGUAUUUUGCCACAGCUGAAGACUAAGCAGAUUGGAAAUGCUGACUUGCGGUCUGCCCAGAGUACCAGGGCCUAGAAUUUUCACAAACCCUAUCACGGGUGAAGGCCAGACCAGUGUGAGCUAUACAGCAACACUGUGCCUAUCUGGGGGUCCUUCCAAGGCAGACCUCUCCAGGAACUGCAAGUUCAUGUGUUGGGGAGAGGCAAGGUGCAGCGCCAGGGUGACUACAGUGCGCUGACAGGUUUUCGUCAACUUGACACAAGCCUAGACAUACUGGGAGGAGGCAUGUUUAUUGAGAUGAUGCUGCCAUGAUUGUGCUCUGUAAGCAAGCCUGUGGGGUGCUGCUUUGAUUGAGGAUUGAUGUGGGAAGACUCAGGUCACUGUGGGCAGUGUUGGCCCUGGGAAAUCCUCCUGGGUUAUCUAAGGAAGCAGGCUGAGCAAACGAUGGGGAGCAAGUCAGUAAAGAGCACAUGCCCAUGACUUUGGCUUCAGUUCCUGUCUCCAGGUUCCUGCCCUGACUUCCCACAAGCAUUAUACAGUGAAAGUACAGCUGGAAGAUCAUAAACAACCUCGAUACUUCAUGAUGGGACAUGUAAGCUGAAAUAACCCUCUUUCUCUCCAAGUUGCUUUUGGUUAUGGUGUUUAUCCAAGCAAAAGGAACCCUAAGUAAGGCGGAGAUUUGUACCAGGUCAUGGGAACUCCUAUGACAGACAGGUUUGUGAUGGUAUUUGAACUUGGGGCUAGAAAAGCUGUUGAAUGUUUAAAACUCAAGCUCUGUAGGAGCUUGGAAGAAAAGAAUGUUGGGAGGGAUGAGGAAGAUGGAGACAUGGCUUGUAAAGUUUUGGAGAUAAAUGAAGACUGUGGGGGCCAUUCAAUAGUUUGAAUUCAGAAUUUGUGUCUGGUCAGCUGGUCCUGAAGAGUCAGUGUGAUUAGGAAGAGUCCAGCAAUGUUGAAGACCAUAAGUCUGGGGAUAUUGCCUCGGACUCAGCACACAGAAACUGUGACUGUGGGGGCCAAGGCUGCAUCUCACGUUAGGAGCCAAACUUUGCAAUAUGCGAGAGCUAUCCAAGGGGUGCUGGUUUUGAAAACACGAAAGAGUCACAAGGAAUAACUAAGACCUGACCCUGCCGCGUGCCAUGAGAGGCCAUUGAGAAGGCGCAGACUCAGUUGCAGUGGAAGCACCAGCACCAACGGAGGUGUGGGAAGAAAGUGAGGCCUGGCACCAGGGAGCAAAGUGAGAGUCCCUGAAGAGAGGCCAGGAGAGGCUAUGGGUGAAGGUGCAGCCCAACUGCUGUGCAAAUCCCAACAUUUUGGAGAUGCCAAUAUCAUGGACGGCCACGAAGCCAGAAGCCAUGGAGGGGUGCCCACCUAAGUCAUAAGAGUUGUGUGUGUGUGACAGAGGGCAGAGUUGGAGGAGGGCCACUGGGGAGCCCUGUGGGGUCCACAGAAUUACGAGUGGGUCCCAGAUGUGAGAAGCUGAACUUUUUACGCCAUCAAACCUCGGUUUUGUUUUGAUUUGACUGCGAUUGUGCCCUGAGUCUUCCCUCUUGGAAUAUGAAAUUAUGCAACUUGUUUAUCUUAAAUUUUAUCAGAUCCCACAGUUAAGAUAUUUCGGACUGUUAGAGAGACUUUUUAAUUUUAGAGACGCUUUGAACUUUGAAGAGACAUUUUUUGGCAAGGCCCGCUAUCUACACCAAGGAACACCACCAGUGACUUAGCUCCAGAUGGCGAGAUUCUAUCACAAGAACAUAAACAAUGUGAGUAACCAAAGAAGCGUGUCUCCUCGAGAAAUCAAACACCCCACCAUAAUGUUCCCUUGGCUGAUGUGCAAGACAAUGAUUUUAAAAUUUCAGUUAUAGAUGUGCCUAGAAAUAAAUCCACAUUAUCUAUGGAAAACGGAUGUGUGAUGAGGCUAUCAAGAUCCCUCAGUGGUGGUGGGAAAAGGUCUCACAACAAAUAGUGUUGGAAAGUUGUAUUUUUACGCACCAGAGGAUAAAUUUAGACCCUUACCUCACACCCUUUAUAAAGCUAACUCAGAUGGAAUCAGACCUAAAGUUAAGAGCUAAAACUACAAAUCUCUUAGAAGAAAGAGGAAAAUGAGGCUAAAUCUCCAUGACCUUGGGCUUGAGAUUGCACAUUUGAAUGGCACCAAAAUAUGAGCAACAACAACAACAAAAAAACAGACGAAUGAUUUCGUUAUGUUAGAAAAUGUGCAUAAAAGCAUAUCCAAGGAUAUCCUGUAGAAAGGGAGAAAAAAAUGACAGAUUGUGUAUCUGGUGAGGAUCUAGUUUCUAGGCUGUAUGAGGUUCCUUAUCACUCAACAACAGAAGUACAGCCAUCCGAAAAGAAGCAAAGGGAAGUACCAUACCUUUUGGUUGCAAAACUUAGUGGUAUCAAACUGGUACUGACUUGAAAACCUUCUCCCGGCCAGCUAGUUUUUACAGGGCUAGAAGGUGCUAGGCAUGCCAGUAGGGGAGAAAAGAUUUGUCCUACCCAGCAUUGGACCAUAUGGCAAUAUCAACCCGCCAGGCAAGACAUGCCCACUGGUGCAAGAGGAGCAUGGAGUUUCCGGGGAUAACCAACUUAUUUCUGGCCAGAUCUGCGGCGUGCUCCAGAGGAGAGAAGUUACUCCUGGUACGAUGGGAAACCUGGUCAAAAACCGAGGGCUCUGGUAGUCAGAGGU